rnacentral:lncRNA from 1 species
GAGGGAAGAAAGAACGAGGCCAUGGCCGGCGGUGGCGGCGGAUCGCGGAGGGGCGUCGGCGUGGAACCCCUCGGGGAGCGCUGAGCCCCCCCGCCCGACCCGAGACAACGGCUGCUGCUGCUCUGCGCUGCUCUCCUAUUUCUGCCCUAUAGCUCCUCGGACAGCGCGGUGCGAUGUGGCCGUCCCAAGGAUGUGGCCAAUGCGAUCAUCAACGCGGGAGACACGGAGCUGCUCCACACCAGCCUGCGUUACACCUGCAAGCUGGGCUACAAACGCAAAGCUGGCACCUCCACCCUCAUCCAGUGCGUCCUCGAUCAUGGCAAGCCUGUCUGGACGUCCACUGAGCUGCAGUGCAUCCGGGACCCGGCUCUACCUCUGCAAACCCCAAGCCCUGAGCUCCCAACAGUGAGGACAAGCCAAAGAGGUGAGGAAGAGGUGAACGUGGCAAAAACUCAACCAUUGCGGUGUGGGAAAGCAAAAUAGUUCAGUUGCAGGAUUGAAUAGAAUCAGAGAGUCAUAGAACUGUAGAAUCACUAAGGUUGGAAAACACCUCUAAGAUCAUCCAGACCGACCAUCAACCCAUCACCACCAUGCCCACUAAGCCAUGCCCCUGAAUAGAAUCACAGUCAUUAAGGUUGAAAAAGACCUCCAAUAUCAUCAAGUCCAACCACUAACCCAACCCCACCAUGCCCACUAAGCUGUGUCCCUAAAUAGAAUCACAGAAUCAUUAUGCUUGGAAAAGAGCUCCAACACCAUCAAGUCCAACCACCAACCCAAUCCCACCGUGCCCACUAAACCAUGUCCCUAACUGCCACAUCUACCUUCUUCUCAACUAUGGGAAAUGAUCCCAUUUCAAAGUGGUUGAGAUGUAUCACCCUUGCCACAUCCAAAUUAAAACACUGCGUAGUGACCAGAGGGUGCUGCCCUAAAUUAAAAGGUUUUACAACAUUUCCCCCUGCAGGAACCAACACCACUUCAGCAGCAGUGCCUGUGCCAUCGCCAGAGACAUCUGUGCCACCAGCAGUGUCUGAACCACCAGAGAUGCCUACCCCAAGAGAGGGGACAGCCCUGGGGACAACCCCACUGCCCACCAUCCCCAUAGACCAUGCUGCAGUUUCCACCCAGACUGUGGCCUCUUCCAUCGGGGUCUCAAUUCUGCUUGUUGUUGUUGUGGCGGGACUCUGCUACCGGAGGAUGAAAAUGUAG